rnacentral:rRNA from 1 species
UACGGGGGGGGGCAAGCGUUGUUCGGAAUUACUGGGCGUAAAGGGCUCGUAGGUGGCCAACUAAGUCGGACGUGAAAUCCCUCGGCUUAACCGGGGAACUGCGUCCGAUACUGGUUGGCUUGAGUUUGGGAGAGGGAUGUGGAAUUCCAGGUGUAGCGGUGAAAUGCGUAGAUAUCUGGAGGAACACCGGUGGCGAAGGCGGCAUCCUGGACCGGCAUUGACGCUGAGGCGCGAAAGCCAGGGGAGCAAAGCGGG